CAGGCUAGCUCUACCACUGAGCCUCACUGCUGCCCAGGAGAAACUAUUUAGGCAGAGCCUAAUCUGCUGGAUUUAUUUAUUUUCCAUUUUUAUUUUGCAGUACUGAGGAUACUCAGCACAGCCCCAACCCCCACCUUUCUUUUUUUUUUGAGACAGGGUUUAGCUAAGUUGCCCAGGCUGGUUUCAAACUUGGGAUCCUCCUGUCUGAGCCUCCCAAGUCCCUGGGAUAACAGGCAUGGACUACUGCUCCUGACUCCUCACCUGUGUUUCAGGUGUCAUUUCCACAGUGAACUGUCUUGGUCAGCCCUUGGUCAGACUCUUGGUCAGCCCUUCCAUGAGGCUGCUUUUACAGGAUUCCCCCCACCCCCCACCACGUUCUUUCCCUUCCAUUUGGCAACAGAAGACAUUUCUGUCCUCUUUGAGCACACUGGCACAAGGACACACAGCUCCAGGGGAAAUUCUUCAAAGAAACUGAUUCUGCUUGAUCCCUGACCCACUCACACAAACAGAGCCCAUGCAGGAAGGCCCAGUUGUCAGCCAAGGGGGCUGUAGCGUCCCCACCCACCAAGGCACAGCUGUGCUGCUAAUUUUAGAACCCUAGAGCAACCACCUGACUUCAAGUUCUGGAGACACUUCACACCCCAGCUCAGGAGGCGAUCUGGGGUGGGGCCACCCUUGGCUUCUAACACCCAUAACACCUUUGUAACCUAUUAAAGUGACUUUAUU
rnacentral:lncRNA from 1 species